rnacentral:sRNA from 1 species
UCCACCCUGAUCCUUUGCAGGUCAAGGUA